rnacentral:lncRNA from 10 species
CACCUUUCCCGUAGGCGGUUCCACUGUAAAAAAUCAUAUUAUAAAAAUGGAUAAAAAGCAAUACGGUGAAAGUAGAAACAAAGGGGAGGGAAAAUGAAAGUGGGAGAAACGGUUGCUUGUUUUGGAAUCUGUAACUGUAAGCUCCUGGUGGGUGGAUACUCGUACAUUAAGUAACUAGUUUGGCUUUUAAGUUCACUUCUCAAAUCUUUAUUCACACUCUUUUCUUCUAAAAUUGACAGAAGUACAGAAGGGAACAUCACACAGUAAAACUAACCAGAAUGCGUCCAUCUGGCAUGCCUUUCAGGAAUCCAGCCCACUAAUAUUUGCUGUGGGUUUCAUGACUCAACCCUUCAAGAUGCCGCACAAGGAAGAAUUUCCUCAUUUUGCAGAACUGCCAAAUCUCAUUCACUGGAGCAAAGGCUCCUCAUUUGGGGCUCAUUUUUAGACAGUUGUUUCUCUGUUUAUACAUUGUAAAAAUCUCCCUCAGCGGAUGGAGUUUGUCAUGCAUUUCUAAAUAGUGAGUAAACAUAUUCCUCCACUCCCUCCCGGCAGGACACACUUCAGCAUUUUGGCCACUGAGCCUAGUUGAAUUUCUCUCUCCUUCCUUCCUCCCCUCUUCCCACGCAGCCUAGCUUUAUUCUUGCUUCCUUGGUUUUAUUUCUUCCUCUCUUCCUCCCUUUUUCUUCCUUCCCUACCUUCAGCCACAUCUUUCAGCCUCGUUUGUUCCUUGGAGGCUUUUAUUCACCCCUCUUCCUCUCUUCUUUCCUCCUUCCCCCUUCUUCCUUCCCUCGCUUCAGCUACUUCUCUUAGCCCCGUUUGUUCCUUCCAGGCUCCACUUUCUUCUCUUCCAUUGGUAAUUUGUCUAAUUUACUCCACUUGAAAAAAGAAAAAUCUUGAUUUAUAUUCGUAUCUUCUUCCAUUCAAAACUGUUAUCUAAGUUCCUCUUUAUUAUCUCCUCCCUCCUAUUUUAAAAUAACAAUUAACAUUUAGCGAGUGCUAAGUGCAGGCAGGAUGCCAAGCUCUCUCGCAGUCUCUCUUGAGGGAGGUACCUUUAUUAUCCUGUUUCAUGGAUGAAAAACAAAAGCACAGAAUUCAAGUAACUUGCGUAAGUCACGAAGCUAUAACCAGGAAUUUGGCUCUGCAAGCAAUGGGCUUUAAAAAUUCUUUUAAAAGUUUUAUUAGAUUCAAAGACUAUGUAUAAAAUAUAUGCAAAUUAUAAACGAAACAUAUCUUUUGAUGGGCACCAUGGGGGCAAGUUUCCAGUUUUGCCCAUUAAAAAAAAAAUCCUUCCCAAUUUUUGAGGCUUGUGCCAUUGAACACUGCUGCCCGCGGCUCUUCUUCCCACUUGGCUCGACAAACGCGUCUUUUAUUAUGACUCAGCCCAGCCCGUUCCUUGCCAAGCGGCUGACGCUC